ACGGCUCAGUAACACGUCGGUAACCUACCCUCGGGAGGGGGAUAACCCCGGGAAACUGGGGCUAAUUCCCCAUAGGCCUGAGGUACUGGAAGGUCCUCAGGCCGAAAGGGACUUAUGUCCGCCCGAGGAUGGGCCGGCGGCCGAUUAGGUAGUUGGUGGGGUAAUGGCCCACCAAGCCGAAGAUCGGUACGGGCUGUGAGAGCAGGAGCCCGGAGAUGGACACUGAGACACGGGUCCAGGCCCUACGGGGCGCAGCAGGCGCGAAACCUCCGCAAUGCGGGAAACCGCGACGGGGGGACCCCGAGUGCCGUGGCAACGCCACGGCUUUUCCGGAGUGUAAAAAGCUCCGGGAAUAAGGGCUGGGCAAGGCCGGUGGCAGCCGCCGCGGUAAUACCGGCGGCCCGAGUGGUGGCCGCUAUUAUUGGGCCUAAAGCGUCCGUAGCCGGGCCCGUAAGUCCCUGGCGAAAUCCACGGCUCAACCGUGGGGCUUGCUGGGGAUACUGCGGGUCUUGGGACCGGGAGAGGCGGGGGGUACCCCUGGGGUAGGGGUGAAAUCCUAUAAUCCCAGGGGGACCGCCAGUGGCGAAGGCGCCCCGCUGGAACGGGUCCGACGGUGAGGGACGAAGGCCAGGGGAGCAAACCGGAUUAGAUACCCGGGUAGUCCUGGCUGUAAAGGAUGCGGGCUAGGUGUCGGGUGAGCCUCGAGCUCGCCCGGUGCCGUAGGGAAGCCGUUAAGCCCGCCGCCUGGGGGAGUACGGCCGCAAGGCUGAAACUUAAAGGAAUUGGCGGGGGAG
rnacentral:rRNA from 1 species